GGGUGAUCCGAAGGGACCUUUCAAAAUUUUCGUUGAUGCAUUGGCCCAGGUACGGCACAGUAAUGACUCUGUCAGCUGUCAACCGCUUUUAGCCGCCUGCGGUGGCGAGUGGGACACGUGGCGAGCGUGGGUCAGCCUAGGGAGAUCCACGAUCAUCAUAGUGCUGGAUCCCAGGGUCUAUUUAAACCCGCCUUUCCGCCUUC
rnacentral:lncRNA from 1 species